CAAUUACAUAUUUAUUUUUCCAUACCUGAUUUUUUUCAAGUCUGUAAUAAAAAAAGUAUAAGUUGAGAUUAACAUAGGUUAUUUUUCAUGAAGUAUAGCAAACGAUCUAGAAUGUGAUAGGAGUGUGGUUUCCAUUUCUUUUUUUUUUUUUUUAACAGACUUUUGUGCUGUAGUAAGAAUGUCUUAGAAGUUGUGUCUUCGAGUUCCUCAAACACCGGACAGGGCUCCCCCAGAGCUGCCUCAGCCUUUGAUUUGGUCCAUAUUCAGACACUUCCUGUCUUGCAUACACUCUGAGGAUGGGCCGCUUCUAGCUGCCGCCCGUCUCCCUCUUGCCUUCUUGUCUCUAAAUCAGACACUCCCAAGCACUCCAUCUGCUAUACUAGGAGAGUGGGAGAGCCAAAGCAUUUUGGAGUCCAUGUAAAGUGCCUGGGAAAAGAGAUGUAAGAGCAGUGGGAGUUUAUAUAAUUAGCGAAUUCUUUUCUCAGAAUUCAGCGGAAAUGUAUUUCUGUUGUUAUUAUUUACAAAAUUGUGGCCUCAGAGGAGCUGUCUUUUGGAAAAUAAGUUUUCAUUCAUGCAGUUAGUUAGACAUGCACGAUGUACUUGAAUCAAUAAACUGUGGACCAGAAAAGGGCUGCUUAAAUGAAUUCACGUGUUCUAAUUCUCUUUCGAGGCUGUUGAUGACCUCCUGGAUUCAUACCCCCAUGAUCUGUCUUGCUCUUGCCUCUGUUCUUUGAUAAAGCACAUCAGACUAUGUGACACCCAUCUUUUCAAGAACGACCUAAAAGCAAUGACAACAGGCAGGAGAGAAUUACCACUGGCCUGGGCACAGUGACAGCAGAAGGCCCACCUGAGCUUGGAGAGUUGGCGAGAUAAGGCAAAAUCAAGGUGCAACAGUGGGCCAUGUUCCAAGGGUGAAUGGAUCUGAGAGUCCGCUGAUGUUCCUUACUGAUCAGAACAGGGACCUUCUAACGAAACAGCCAGAGUUCCUUGAAUCAGGCAGAAGUUCUUUAGAGACAGGAAGCCAGAGCUAUUGAUAAUAUCCGAACGACAGAGGAAGGAAUUUCUUAUUAGAAAUUCUAAAAUAAAACAAGUGGGGAUUUGGUUGGAUACCCUUAGAAGCUACAUUUUUCUCUCAUCCCUAAGAUAGAUAUCUCAAGUGUAUAUCUGACACCUCUUGGCUUUGACACGGCUCUGCUUCUCAAGUGACCAUUUGUUUUAAGUCUGUUGUCUAGAAUUCUUUGUGGGGGCUGGACCUCUGAAAAAGAUUCUCACUGCAGAGGCUUUAAAUCUGUGUUUUUUUCCACUCCCUCCGUCCUGGGAUGUAUUCGGUAGGACAUUUCAUUUAUAUCAGGAUAUUGGCUGAUUCAGCUCUCUUUCAUCGUUAUUAUUCAGGCCUCCCUCCACCACCUUGUUCUUUAUUGCCUAAGUAUUGCCCUCCCCAAUUCUUCAUCGUAAUAGCUCUAAAUUUAGUUUGACCCAAAUUAAUUUUUGUUCCAACAGAUAUAUUUUAAGACAGAGAAGCCUCUCUCAGGAGCCAGAUGAUCUGAAGAUGAUGCUAAUCCCCAAAUACGAAGUUCCUCCAGCUAACUCUCCUCUGAGCUCCCUCUUCUUAGCUUUGGGAUUGGGGAUGGUCUCAUCCUUGCCAGGAAUCCCUUUGUUGCUCCCAGUGUCUCUGAUGAGCUUCUCCUCCCUCCCAGAGACAAUGCAGGGGUGGUUUUCAGCAGAAUGUGCCACCUGCACUUCUGAUUGUUCUGAGACCCAGCCCAGAGGGGUGGAGAAGGCGCACAAACCCUAUUCCAAUAAACUGCCUGCAGAGAACCACAGCCUGCUAAUAGUCGUUGAGGUCUCAGCCCCCUAAGGUCUCCAAGCUCAUUUGACCAGCGCAGCUGCGACUUCGGCUGUCUGCCUCUGGCAGGUGCCAAUAUCAGCAUCUUGUCCCACUGCCAUGGGGAGUUAAUUUUUGCUCCAGGGCAGCUGCCAAGCCCAGCACCGGCAUCAAUAGAAGGUUUUCUCUGAUUUUCUUCUCUUCCUCUCAGGCUAGGCUUUCUUACCAAUCCCCAAUUUUCUUCUGUAGGGCGCCAGGAGACUGGCCAGAGAUCUUUAGACUCUUACUUAGUUUGAACAUCUCUUGCUGCUCACACCCAGGCUUCUUCAGCAGAAAGCAUGACCCAUAGUAGGUACUCAGAAACUGGUUGAAUGAAAAGCCUUGACAUUUAAGGGCUUUAUUCUGUCAUACGGUAGCAAGAACUGGCCUAUUGGCAUCGUAUUCCUGGCAUUGAGCUGUAUUGACCCUGAAUGUGUCCUCCUGAGGUUUUUGAGGGUGACCUAGGAGAAAGGGUCUGAAAAAGCACUGGGAUCCAAGUGACUUUAAAUCUGCCCGUGGCAUUUCCUGCUGAGAGGCGAGAAACUAGCAUCUCUCCCAACAGGCUCACAUCCGCCAGGAAGGACAGAGCCCAAAACGGGGGUAGACUUUGUGGGAAAUUCGCCAGUUAGUCCGCUGAGAUUUUAAUCUGCCUCAAGCACAGGAUGCUGACAAGAAAGGUAGACCACUCCCCCGAUCCCAGACAAACCCCAGGGGUGACAACUUCUCCAUCAGUAUCCUGAGAAGCAACAUCAAAUGCUUACCAAGUCAGCACGUUUACUGAGUGAGUACUCUGACGGAAUAAACCAGCAUUUGGAGCUGAACUUGAGAACACAGGGCCCUCUGACAGCAGCUUAGGGAAACACCCAUCCCUUCCAGAUUGGCAGAAUCCUUCCAUUUCAUGUCCUUCGGAGACGCUGUAUUCUCUUUACAAAUCAUUCAUGAAACUGAGACUCAGUCUCCCAGGGGUAAGUCCUGGGCCACGUGCAAACAAUGGCAAAUCCAGCUCUUCCAUGAUAGAGAAGGCAAACACACCCACCUUCAUCCUGAGCCUAAAAGGCCACCUCUGAGCACUUGGGCAGCCACUCCUCUGGGCCUCAGAGGGCCAUGAGCUUGGCCAGGUAGGCACAGCGGCGGGGAAGUCACAGCUGUCAGGUACCGGCCAUGGUGCAGGUGGGAAUAGGAGAUGCCAGAGCUGCUUUAGCUGAGGAAAGCAAACAGUCAGCAGUGCUCAAAGGAGCAAAACUUCGAAUGUGCACAUUGACCCCUGACACCUGCAAGCAUAACACAGAUCCUAAGACUAGAGUGAAGUAGGAAGAAGAAUUAGAAAAUCCAGUGGAUGUCCUGAGUAUAGGGAACCAGGGCCGUUGAAAAUCAGUAAAGGUUGAUUACCUGGGGCGAGACCGGGUGACUGUGGCAGUGCAGGUGAAGGUACCCUGGACCUUCUCAGUUCGCUGGCACAUAAGGCUCCGCCAAUAAAGCGUGGUUCUCUCUGUCACACACACACACACACACACACACACACACACACAAUGAUUGGAGGGCUAUAUGAUCCAGCAUUAGCUUCCUGGUGUGCCAAGCAUGCUUGAUCGGGAAUUUUUUUUUAUUAUUAUUAUUUUUUAGCUGUAGCUGAAGGCAUUUCUCGGAUGUGGAGAGGAGAAUGGAAAUCGCAGAACCAAAUCAGUUUGCCCUGCCAUAUUUGGCUGUGGUCUGUCAUUGGGCAUUUCUGAUGUGCUUUUCUGGAUUCAGGAAGAGCUGAUUGUCCUCCGAGGGUUGAAAAAAAAAAAACAGUUUCAGAAACCUGAAUCCAGGGCCUUAUAGUUCUCCUCAUUAUCUAUCUUCUUCUCCCUUCCCUCGCCCAAGGGAGUGGGGGAAACACUUUUCACUGCAGAGUUUGCUUUAAAGUUUUCCCAUCUUGCGUGCAUUAUCCCUUGAUAUUAAAAUUAUUUUCUCAGUUUAAUCCAACUCCUGCUGAGAAGCUGUGUGAGAUUUAGGCUGUGGGGUUUUUUUCUUGUACUCUUUUGGAUGGUGUUGCAUUUUUCACUCUUAACCCGAGGGUGUGUUUCAGCUUAUGUUCGUUCUGUUUCAUGCAGGUUUAUAGCACGGUAGAGUAGAAGGCGGCUUCUGAUUUUUAGGGUAUUUUUAGAAUUCAUUCCUGAGUGAGGGGUUCAGACACCCAGUCUCCUCGGAACAGGGGUGAGGGGUCGACUGAGCUUUGUUGAGAAGCCUCCAGUUAGGCUUCGGGCGGGUCUCCAUGUUAUAUUGUGUGUUUACUGAGCUUCCCACUGGUAGAAGAUGACACAUUUGUCCAUCGUCCUGUGUAUCUGCUUUCCAGAGGACACCGGAGCAUUCUCCUGGGGUCACUCCCACAUGGCUGCCUCACAUAGCUGUUUUGCAACAGCCUUUAUUGCCAACACCCUUGGAAGAACAUCUCCUGUAGAAGUACAAGUUUUGCAAUAUGGACUUUGGAAGUGGUUUUGUGAUGUUCGAAUUUUCUGUUAGCCUAUUGCUCAAGCACUACAGAAUGUACAUAGUCCCUUUGGCCAUCCUCUCACCCCAGAAUAUCCUAAUAAACAUUGUUUUCUUUUUUAAAAAAAA
rnacentral:lncRNA from 10 species